GAGUGAACGCUAGGCGGCGGUGCUUAAUACAUGCAAGUCGAGCGAAGCACGUUUAACGGAAGUUCUACCGGAAGGAAGGUAGAGUGACUGAGCGGCGGACGGGUGAGUAACGCGUGGGUAACCCGCCUUAUACAGGGGGAUAACAGUUAGAAAUGGCUGCUAAUACCGCAUAAGCGCACAGGGCCGCAUGGCCCGGUGUGAAAAACUCCGGUGGUAUAAGAUGGACCCGCGUCUGAUUAGCUGGUUGGUGGGGUAACGGCCCACCAAGGCGACGAUCAGUAGCCGGCCUGAGAGGGUGAACGGCCACAUUGGGACUGAGACACGGCCCAG
rnacentral:rRNA from 1 species